GCACACACUAGUCACUUUUUGGCUCUGGGUGUGCUAGCACAGAACUACUUGUGAUCUCUUCAUGGAUAGGCUGUCAAAUGGCUUCACAUCUGUGUGGUUUUGCUACCUUUUCCCUGGAGAUGCCACGAUUGGAAAAGUUCACACCUUGGAACAGGUGUGAAUACCUUACGGCCAAACAAAAUCUGGUAUUAAUGACAUGCAACCGAGGUAGUGAAGUGCAAGUAGCAGCCUGAAUGCACACACAUGCUUUAUGCUUAUCCCUACUGUUAUUUACAACAUGAUAAUUUGUAUUUCAGAAGGUCAUGGAUAUCUAAACCAGAAACCCUCUUUCAGAAGUAGAGUUUCUUCACAAGACUGAAGUGCAGUAAUGGGAUGCCUUGAUAUUUACUGUAACAAAUAUGGGAACACUCCACAUCUGUGAUCAAUUCACUGGACUUUGAAAUAGUUUGUUAAAAAUGUAGGAGGGGAGAAUUCAGAGUAAUCUUUUUUAAGGUAUUUCAGGUAUAGUGACUGUUGGGUUUUCUCUUUCUGAGUUUGUAUUGUGGAUAAUUCCACUGAUGACUAUGUGUAGUAUUGUAUUGCUAUAAUUAAAAAAUUGGCCACUUUUGAAUAUAGAUACCGCCGCUACUAGGACUUUGAUCUUUGUGAAUGAGAAUAUGGGAGAUGUUAAUCAGUACAUUCACUAUGACUGAAGUAUGGAAAGAGACUGGGAGGCAAUGUGUGAUGGAAAGGAGUGAACUUAGAGAGAGGAAACCAAGGAGGAUUCCAGCCCAGUGCUGAGUACUUGUGCCCUCUUAUGAUUUCCUGAUCAUUGAAGAAGGGUGAAGGAACAGCUGGAGACAAAAUACAUUCACUGACAAGUAACAGGACAGCAGGAGUCACACAUCUGAUAGCUUGUGUAAAUCACAGAAGUCACUAUUUUUGUCAGACACUUGAAGGCAGUUCGAGCAUAAUUCUGAUGCAAGGCAGCAGGGGAAAGCAUUUUUUAUGAUGUCACUUCAAUUAAUGACAAAUUUAUACUAUUCUAUAUCUAAUGCAUUUAUUCAGUGGAGUUUCCAGAGGCACAGCAACUGAACAGAGAGUGUAAUAAAGGGAAUCCUGUUUGCUUCAUUGUUUCCUUCCCUUUUUAGUUGUGUGCAUUUUGUCUUUGCUGCAGGAGUGGGAGUGUUCCUUGAAGGCUUUGUUGUAUAUCAAUUUCAAGUUCGGUUGUUUUGGUUUUGGA